rnacentral:lncRNA from 10 species
CAGUCCUUUUCAUGUAUUAUCUCAUUUAAUUUUCACAACAACCAUGUGAGAUACAUUUUUCUCCAAAUACACACAACUAGUAGUAGCUGCCAAAGCAGGAGUUCUAAGGCAGGCAAUCUGAUUUCGAUGUGCUAUACUGCCUACUUUCCACUAUUACUUUGUUUAGGAGUUUAUCUAGAAACCAUGGGCAACAAUCUAAUAUUAUUGUAGUAGUGCAAAGGAACAUCCAAAGGCAAGGGGUCAAAUUUGCAAGUUUUAACAUGAGAACUCUGACCAUGUCCGGCAACUUAACUCCAGAAGAGAAGAGGUAAUGUAAGGGGUAGUAGUAUAUGGCUCCUUCUUCUUGCCUCCACGUCUAGCUGCAGCUCUGAAAAAAAGGAGGAAGCAGAAUAAAGAUCACAACUCUCUGGGCACAGGAGAAUACAGCAUAAUUUUUUGGGUUGGGAGGUGUUUGGGCCAUGGGGGUGGAUCCCUCAUGAGUGGCUUGGUGCUGUCCUCAUGGUAGUAAGUGAGUUCUCGCUCUAUUAAUUCCCAUGAGAGCUGGUUGUUAAAAAGAGUCUGGCAACUCCCCCAUCUCUUUUUUGCUUCUUCUCUCACCACGUGAGCUCUGCACACACUGGCUCCCCUUCAUCUUCCACCAUGAGUGGAAGCAGCCCGAGGCUUUCAUCAGAUGCCCAGUCUUCCAGCCAGCAGAAUUGUUGAAUCUUCCUUCCCAAAAUCCCAAUGAUGCAUCAGGCUACUCUUCGGAUUCUCCGUAUCACAUGAAAGAUACAGGUUAUGGAACAUUGAAAACAACACUUGUCCCUCUGUGCCACACCUGAGGAAAGUAAGGAGAAUGAUAUUUGUGUUGUCUGUCUCAAAACGUGUUUAGGUAGAACACGUCCAUUCAUAUAAAGGAAACUGGUAAAUCAGCAAAUCAUGAUUGUAAAUGUUAAUAACCAAAUUCUCUAUAAAUAUACUUGGGGAAAGAGUCAUAAGGAAAUAAGAGCUAAUAUGCAUUUGAAUUCCUACUAUGUGUCAAAAUCAUCUUUGAAUAUCACUGAGGUAACCAUUGCAUAUAAUUUGCCUACUUCCCUAAAUUUCUUUUUGUUGUUGUUGUUAUAUCAUUAACAAAUACUUAUUGAGCAACUACUCUGAGCAAAGUAUUGUGGUUUGGCCCUCUGUGCAACCAGUGCUAUACAAUGUACAUAUUAAAAAUUCCCUAAAUUUCUGAAGGGAAUUACAAUCUUAUUUUAAAAUCAGAUGACAUUGAAAAAUUCAAGUUACAUUACCACCAUAUAUAUGGUGGACAUGUAAUGCCUUUGCUGGUGGACUCCCUGCCUGCAUGGUCAAUGGAAAAUGCUAAUGGAAGGAAGAAGACUCCACAGCAGGAAUGGUGUAACCACUGUCAGAUGUUGUUAUAUAGCGGACAAGUGCAGACAGCCUAAUGCAAGCAUGCCUAGGUGCAACCCUCGCCCUGCUCCUUAUUAGCUUGGUGAUGUUAGACAACAUACCACCCUGUGCUCAUUCUUCAAUUUUUAAUAAAUACUACUUUUCUUAUGGAGUAGUUAUAAGAAUUAAAUGAUUAAAUGGCAAUAGUAAGCACUUUAGGAAAGAAAGCAAGUGAAGUAUUUUUAUUAGUAGAGUUGCAUGAAAAUAUAAUUUCUUAAGAAAUAUUACAGAAUCUUCUUUCAGAAUAAAAUAAGACAAAAAUAAAGGGAUCUAUCACACCUGAAAUUAUAAUAGUAAAGUUUACCCUUAAGACUCUACAUAAAAUUAUUUGUACGUAUGGUUAGUAUAUCAGUAAGUGGCUAUUUUCUGGGAAAUUUCCAGUUAUUUAUCAUGCUGAUUUCCUUUGUUUCAAAGCAUGUGAGUAAAUCAUUCUUUGAAUUUCUACACACCUUUCUCUUAAAGUUCUUAAAAUUUUUUUAAACAAGCUCAUUUAUUCCCAACACAUUGCUCACCAAAUAUAACUACCCACCCGUCCCCAAAUCUUAACAGGGUUUCUUCUAAAUGUCAUCUACAUUAAUGCCAUUUUACACUUCUCUUUCUUUUU